rnacentral:tRNA from 1 species
GCACUGAUAGUUCAGUGGUAGAUUUCUCGCCUUGCACGUGGUAGAUUCAGGUUUGAGUCCCGGCCAAUGCA